rnacentral:rRNA from 1 species
AUGUUAUCUAAAAAACAUCUAUCUGGCUGUGAGAAAAGAAACAACAAGAAAAGAGUAGACAAGUUGAUUAAAUCUCAGGAAGGCACUAUGGAUAUGUUUGUCUUGAGGACUGGUACUGCUACAAAUUCAGAGCAAUUAUAUAUCACAAAUGGUGAAGAAAAACCUGAUGAUACUAAUAAUGACGUUGAGGAAAAUCAUGUCGAGGAAAAUAAUGCUGCGGAAAAUGAUGCCGAUCAGCACAUGGAAAAUUUUAGUGACCAUGAGAAUCUUGGAAAUGCAGAUGAGCAGGGUUCUUCUUUUGAUAUAUAUGAUCCUAGAACUUGGAAUAUUCUUGACAAUAAAUCAAGAGAUAUUCUCAUUGAAAAAGGACCUAUAAGGGAAUACAAUCUUGAGUUUCCCAAAGAUGAAAUUAGUGGCAGGCAUUUUUCAUAUGAUUACUACACAAGAAAGUUAAGGAAUGGCGAGUUCAGUGAUCGGAGGUGGUUACUGUACUCUAAACACGUGAAUAAAGUCUACUGGUUUUGUUGCAAAUUGUUUAAAUCUGGAAAAAGCAAAAGUCUGCUAGCAUUCGAGGGAUUGAAGGAUUGGAGACAUCUUAGUGAGAAGCUCAAAUUACAUGAGAAUAGUGUUGAGCAUAUCACUAACAUGAAUACUUGGAAUGAGGUAAGGUUGAGGCUAAGUAAGAAGGAAACAAUUGAUAAAGACAUGCAACAAGAGAUUGCAAGGGAGAAGGAGCGAUGGAGACUUGUUUUAAUUAGAAUUGUUGAUGCUAUGAAAUUUCUUGCUAAACAUAGUCUGGCUUUUCGAGGAUCGAAUGAGAAAUUAUAUCAAGAUAACAACGAAUUUUUUUUGGGAGUAACUGAAAUGAUGGCAGGAUUUGAUCCUGUAAUGCAAGAGCAUCUUCGGCGCAUUAAGAAUAGUGAAAUCCAUCAUCAUUAUCUUGGCCAUAAUAUUCAGAAUGAGUUAAUUUCCCUUCUUGGUCACACUGUUAAAUAUUCUCUGUUGAGGAUAAUUAAGGAUGCAAGGUAUUUCUCUGUCAUCUUGGACUGUACACCUGACGUGAGCCAUCAAGAACAAAUGACUCUAAUUGUGAGGUGCGUAAACAUGUCAAGUACUACUACAAAAAUAGAGUUUUUUCUGGAGUUCUUGAAGGUGGAUGAUACAUCCGGACUUGGACUUUAUAAUGUGUUAAUAGAUUCACUUAAAUCUGUUGGUUUGGAUGUUAAAGAUGUUCGUGGACAAGGGUAUGACAAUGGUUCGAACAUGAAGGGAAAACACCAAGGGGUACAGAGCAGACUACUUGAAACUAAUCCAAGAGCAUUAUUCAUGCCAUGCGCUUGUCAUAGCCUGAACCUUACUCUUAGUGAUAUGGCAAAAUCUUGCGGUAAAGCUAUUACCUUCUUUGGUGUUGUGCAAAGAAUUUAUAUAUUGUUUUCAAGCUCUACUAAAAGAUGGCAGCUAUUGCUUGAUCAUGUUCCAAAAAUGAAAAGUUAA